rnacentral:lncRNA from 1 species
AAAAAAACAAGAAAACUAAAAAACUAUUAGAACAGGUUCCAAAUUUCGAGGGGAGUCUAGAAAUGAAAGCGAAAGAACAAGCUGCUUAAAUACACUUUUUUCACAGGACAGGUACAUGUUAUAAAUGACAAAAAGGGACUUCUGAGAGAAGAAUAAAGACAUCAGCCUGGAAAUUGAGACAUAAAAUUCAAAUAAAUGGUUCAUGUUGUUAAAUGACAUAAUAAGAGUAUAUAGUGUAAAAGUUAACAGAUCAUUGCAUUAGUUAUGCUGCUUUACAGUAUCUUUUACAAAUGUCAGAUCUAAUAGACUUAAAACACAUGAACUUCAAAGUGCAAUUAUAUAACUAAUUUCUCCCAUUACAGAAACAACUUUACUGCAGACAUGUGUCUUCUAAAUACUCUUCAAUUGUUAAUAUUUGUCAUGCUAUGCUCAUACGAAUACAUGUUAGGUAGAAAACAUUGUGGCUACUUUCCCUGUACAUUCCAGAAAAGUAGUGGCAGGAGUAACAACACAGUCCCAAUGUAUAAUUUAUAAUGGAUCUAAAAUAUAUUUCAAUGAGAAAAAUUAAUAAUUUAAACACAUUAUAGCUGCCAAAUUUGUUCAUUAUAUAUUCAUGUGAAUGUCAUACUACUGAAUGUUGAAGUGAGAUACUUACAUAGUUUUAACAUUUUCAUAUGUGGGAGUGCUAAUAACAUACAUUUACAUACUAUUUUAAAUUAGACAAAAAUAGAUGCAUCUUUCAUGCUUGGAUCUUCUGGACCAUUUUUUUUUAUUAUCAAAAUCACCUGUUACAUUAAAAUUGAGGGAUUAAAUGUCAGCACAGAAUCACAUAGUUUAUACAACACAGGAUAUCUCUGUUAGCAGGUCUAAGAUUUAUAAAUAAUUUAAUCUAAUUCUGACAAUAUAGGCACUAAAAACAACAGCAAGCAAUGUAACGGUAAUAACAUAAGUAUUAUAAACCACAUGGCCAAGACAUUUAACUCUCAACAAAUUCACAUAUUCUUUCCUUCCCAACAACAACAUAAGAAAUGUUGUUGUUAUCCAUUUUAUAGUAGAUAAGCUGACAAUAGAAAUAAUGAUAAUUUACUUAAAGAUAAUUUUUAUUGAACGUAACUUGAAAGUAAAUGACACAUUGCUUACUUGUAAAAAUAAAACAGUGAGGCCACCAAGAACUACGAAUUCAACAAAACUAUCAUUUUUACUUCUUAAUGACUGAUCAACACCACUCCAAUAUGCCCUACCCUGCAUGAAGUCCUUUCUAGUAGCAUGAGAAAUGUUUUGUUUUCUUUUGAAGAGGCCAAGGCAUGGAACUAUCACAGGGAAAAGAGAUUCUAACUUUUACCAGUCAAUACAUUGUAAAAGUUUCAUGAAUUAUAAUAUCAAGAUUAAUUGAAAAUUUCUUUUUCAAAGACUUUUGUUUUCUUCAUUUCCUUGUUUAAGGUGGUUUUGAAAAGCAACACAGAUCUCUACAUUUUCAUAAAGCAGCACAUAUAACAGAAAGUGCACACACCUUUUUAGAACAAUAAAUGUUAAAAAUAAGAGUUUCUUCUUUAGGCGUUCGUAGUAACAAAACUUACAAGGAAAAACAUUAUUUUGCACGUUCACUGUUUAGUUAGUGGUGUGAUUGUGUCAAUAGUAAGCCUUUUUUUCAUUUUGACAAUAUUACAUACAUGCACAAUAAUAAAAUUGUAAGAAGAGUUGAUAUUGAAGGAAACUAACCAACUAAGCCACAACUACUGAUGUAUAGAAAUGAAGAAUGAAUGAGAAGAGAAGGAUAGAAAUGAAGAUAACAAGACUACUGAUGUAUUGAUUGAAGGUUUAUUCUUAAAAAAACAAAGAGAUUGUUCCUAGUGAUUCUAUUUCAAAUUUAAAUUUUGUGAGGUAUUAUAACUAUAAUGUGAUUGUUCGUUGCUUAUUACUCUCAGUUGCAACAUUGGUGCAUUUAUUUUGAGACUUAUAAGAGUUAAUGAUGAACAUGUGAAAUGGUGCAAUUUUUUUAAUUUUGUUUGGCUUCCUACUGAUUUUCAUGUGAAAGUCACAUAAGGUUUAUUUAAGAGGCAUUUAUGGGCUGAAUCUUCUGUUAAUAAGUUGCAAAUGCUAAUGAGGUAUCGAAUCUAAUAAGAAAUGAUGAGGAAGCUAAGGCUAGGCAGAAGCAGGCAAUAGAUUGUAUGAUGAGUAUCCGUAAAGUUAUAUUAUAACAAUAAUAGUAAUGCCUCGUGAACUUCCAUAUAGAAUUGGAGUAAUGUGAAGGAGAGACUGAUAACUUACCUGAAACUGAAAGAUUCAAAAGACUAAACAAACUUGAAACAACAGCAAGAUGAACUGUCUGGAAAAGAGAAGAUGAAAUAAAGUAGUAAAAAAACUAAAAAGUAUCAGAAAAAGAACAAGGAAAUAAACACCCAUUUAACUUUUCAAUAUCAACAUUGAUACAACACAGCCAAAUUAACAUUGAAAUUCGAAAUAAAAAUAAAGAUCAUACAAAAGUAAUAAAUAACGCAACACAAAAACUAAAGGGAAGAGAUGAAGGUUGAAGAAUAUUGGAGAGAAAGGAUUAGACGAAAUAAUAAUUAACAAUAUAAUCUAGGAAUUUCAUAUCAUAAACUUUGAAAGCAUGAAGAGAAUUGACAGAAAAUUGAGAUAAAAACAUGCAUGAGUUGGAUCACCCGAUUGAGAAGAUGAAAGAAAGGAAAGUAUAGUUUUCAAAAGUUUGGAAAAAAAACAAAGAUCAUGGCAAGAAAAUAUGUUAAAUAUAAAAAAGCACCUAUGAAUUCAGCUAUCAAAUUGAAAUUUGAAGAGAAUCAAGAGAUAGCUUGGGUAAAAAUUGGGAGAUAUACUAACCGCAAAUUGGUACAAUCAUCAGUGCAAAGAAAAUUGUACUUCAUUCGAGAGAAAAAUAGAGCAGUGUGAGUGUGGAUGCUUCUGGAAUAAAGUUGAGUGUUCUUUUUUUGCGUAAAAUGAUUUGGGGAUGUUGAGUGACAAGUGCAAUAAAAUAAUAGAUAUAUAACUAAUUUAAUGACGAAUUUGCCCUUGGUUUGGAGUAAGAUAUUGUAUCAUAGAUAUUUAUCAUUUACCCUUUAUGUUGAGUAUAAUUACAAAUCUGCCAUUGGUCGUCCUUGGUCAGUAAGAUGACUAAUGAAAAACUCAAGAAUACUUAGAACCCAAAUACGGUUAAUAUAUGGCAAGAUUAGGUUUCAACAUAGUAUGAUCCCUUCACUAAUUAAUUAAUUAAUAUAUAAUAAUAAUUAGAGAAGUAUGAAUCUAAGCCUCCCAGCUCUUGAAGAAGCAAAAAUUACAUGUACAACUUCUUGAUGAACAUUGAUAUUUUAGUGUCUAAUAAACAUUUGAUUUGACCAUAUAGAAAAAGCUUAACGAUAAAAGCACCAGAAGACACAAAUUUGUGGAGAGAAAGACAGAAAACACAUAAUAAAGAAGAGGUCGAAAAGCUUUAUUUCUAUUCUAAUAAAUAAAUGUAGCAAGAGUGAGAAGAGGUCAAACAAUUGUAACUAACUCCUAAUUCAGUAGUAGCAUAAAAUCAAACAAUACUUAGCUAGCCCAACCAAUAGAAAAAUAGACCGUAUCGAUCAGCACUUCGAUGCUGUUCAAUAAGCAGAAAAACACACAUGUAUAGGCAAAGUGACUAAGUAUAAUGCAUGGACACCUUAACAAAUAGUGCUCCACCAGCCAUCCAGUACAAACACUACCAAUUAAGCAUACAAAUAAUCAAAGUGUAAGAGAAAUCAACCAUGAAACACCUGCACUUUGGGGAUAUUCACGUUAUAUUCCUAUUUACUCAAAGUNNNNNNNNNNNNNNNNNNNNNNNNNNNNNNNNNNNNNNNNNNNNNNNNNNNNNNNNNNNNNNNNNNNNNNNNNNNNNNNNNNNNNNNNNNNNNNNNNNNNNNNNNNNNNNNNNNNNNNNNNNNNNNNNNNNNNNNNNNNNNNNNNNNNNNNNNNNNNNNNNNNNNNNNNNNNNNNNNNNNNNNNNNNNNNNNNNNNNNNNNNNNNNNNNNNNNNNNNNNNNNNNNNNUGUGAUGCUUUAGCUAUAUGAGUGUCUCAAUACUAAAGAUGAAGGCUUUGUUAUACCAUUAAACACGAGCACAAGAGAACAUAGAAAUUUGAAUUAUCCAUAAUCUAAGAGAGAGAUAAUUUUAAGAAAAUAGAAGAUAGAACAAAACACACAGUUAUUAAUUUUUUUAUCAAUUCAUAUUUUUGGAACGACCGAGGGUUGUAAUAUCUAAUUAAGAAAGUGAACAGAAGCCAUCUUUGAAUAUUUCAAAAGGAUUGAUUAAGAGCAAGAAAAAAGAAAACGACCUAGGGUUGUAAUAUCCAAUUAAGAAAGUGAACAGAAGCCAUCUUUGAAUAUUUCAAAAGGAUUGAUUAAGAGCAAGAAAAAAGAAAACGACCUAGGGUUGUAAUAUCCAAUUAAGAAAGUGAACAGAAGCCAUCUUUGAAUAUUUCAAAAGGAUUGAUUAAGAGCAAGAAAAAAGAAAACGACCUAGGGUUGUAAUAUCCAAUUAAGAAAGUGAACAGAAGCCAUCUUUGAAUAUUUGAAAAGGACUGAUUAAGAGCAAGAAAAAAGAAAUGGUCACUCAAAAUUGAAAAUUGAAAAAUUUAAUCGAAGAGAUUUAAGCAAAAAUGCGAAUAGAACAUACCUGGAAACACUCAAUGUCUUAAACCUUUAGUCUUGAAAAUCUAAGAAAACUGAUGCAAAUGAGAUAUUUAUUUAUUUUCAUUGGAAGAGUGGAGAAAGAUGUAGAUGCUUCUAGAGUAU